GUGGGGAAUAUUGGACAAUGGGCGAAAGCCUGAUCCAGCAAUGCCGCGUGAGUGAUGAAGGCCCUAGGGUUGUAAAGCUCUUUUACCAGGGAUGAUAAUGACAGUACCUGGAGAAUAAGCUCCGGCUAACUCCGUGCCAGCAGCCGCGGUAAUACGGAGGGAGCUAGCGUUGUUCGGAAUUACUGGGCGUAAAGCGCGCGUAGGCGGUUUUUUAAGUCAGAGGUGAAAGCCCGGGGCUCAACCCCGGAAUUGCCUUUGAAACUGGAAAACUUGAAUCUUGGAGAGGUCAGUGGAAUUCCGAGUGUAGAGGUGAAAUUCGUAGAUAUUCGGAAGAACACCAGUGGCGAAGGCGACUGACUGGACAAGUAUUGACGCUGAGGUGCGAAAGCGUGGGGAGCAAACAGGAUUAGAUACCCCAGUUAGUCC
rnacentral:rRNA from 1 species